rnacentral:rRNA from 1 species
UACGUAGGGUGCGAGCAUUAAUCGGAAUUACUGGGCGUAAAGCGUGCGCAGGCGGUUCGCAAAGUCUGAUGUGAAAGCCCCGGGCUCAACCUGGGAACUGCAUUGGAAACUAACGGGCUCGAGUGUGGCAGAGGGGGGUGGAAUUCCACGUGUAGCAGUGAAAUGCGUAGAGAUGUGGAGGAACACCGAUGGCGAAGGCAGCCCCCUGGGCUAACACUGACGCUCAGGCACGAAAGCGUGGGGAGCAAACAGG